ACGAACGCUGGCGGCGUGGAUUAGGCAUGCAAGUCGAGCGACGGCAUCCUUCGGGAUGUACGGAGCGGCGAACGGGUGAGUAACACGUGAACAACCUGUCCCUUUGUUCCGGAUAAUUGGGAGAAAUCCCUUGUAAUACGGGCGAGGACGGUCCUUUGGCAUCUUAGGAUCGGGAAACAUGAAAGUGGCAACACUUUUGUGGCAUGGGGAGGGGUUCGGCGACCUAUCAGGUAGUUGGUGUGGUAACGGCACACCAAGCCAACGACGGGUAGCUGGUCUGAGAGGAUGGUCAGCCACAUUGGAACUGAGACACUGUCCAGACUCCUACGGGAGGCUGCAGUCGAGAAUCUUGGGCAAUGCACGAAAGUGUGACCCAGCGACGCCGCGUGAAGGAU
rnacentral:rRNA from 1 species